rnacentral:rRNA from 1 species
GACGAACGCUGGCGGCGUGCUUAACACAUGCAAGUCGAACGGAAAGGCCCUGCUUUUGUGGGGUGCUCGAGUGGCGAACGGGUGAGUAACACGUGAGUAACCUGCCCUUGACUUUGGGAUAACUUCAGGAAACUGGGGCUAAUACCGGAUAGGAGCUCCUGCUGCAUGGUGGGGGUUGGAAAGUUUCGGCGGUUGGGGAUGGACUCGCGGCUUAUCAGCUUGUUGGUGGGGUAGUGGCUUACCAAGGCUUUGACGGGUAGCCGGCCUGAGAGGGUGACCGGCCACAUUGGGACUGAGAUACGGCACAGACUCCUACGGGAGGCAGCAGUGGGGAAUAUUACACAAUGGGCGGAAGCCUGAUGCAGCAACGCCGCGUGCGGGAUGACGGCCUUCGGGUUGUAAACCGCUUUCGCCUGUGACGAAGCGUGAGUGACGGUAAUGGGUAAAGAAGCACCGGCUAACUACGUG